rnacentral:rRNA from 1 species
GACGAACGCUGGCGGCGUGCCUAAUACAUGCAAGUUGAGCGCUGAAGGUUGGUACUUGUACCAACUGGAUGAGCAGCGAACGGGUGAGUAACGCGUGGGGCAUCUGCCUUUGAGCGGGGGACAACAUUUGGAAACGAAUGCUAAUACCGCAUAAAAACUUUAAACACAAGUUUUAAGUUUGAAAGAUGCAAUUGCAUCACUCAAAGAUGAUCCCGCGUUGUAUUAGCUAGUUGGUGAGGUAAAGGCUCACCAAGGCGAUGAUACAUAGCCGACCUGAGAGGGUGAUCGGCCACAUUGGGACUGAGACACGGCCCAAACUCCUACGGGAGGCAGCAGUAGGGAAUCUUCGGCAAUGGACGAAAGUCUGACCGAGCAACGCCGCGGGAGUGAAGAAGGUUUUCGGAUCGGAAAACUCUGUUGGUAGAGAAGAACGUUGGUGAGAGUGGAAAGCUCAUCAAGUGACGGUAACUACACAGAAAGGGACGGCUAACUACGUG